AGGAUGAACGCUGGCGGUAUGCCUAACACAUGCAAGUCGAACGGGUGUCUUCGGACAUUAGUGGCGGACGGGUGAGUAACGCGUGAGAAUCUGCCUUCAGGAUGGGGACAACAGUUGGAAACGACUGCUAAUACCCGAUAUGACGAAAGUUGAAAGAUUUAUCGCCUGGAGAUGAGCUCGCGUCAGAUUAGCUAGUUGGUGUGGUAAUGGCGCACCAAGGCGACGAUCUGUAGCUGGUCUGAGAGGAUGAGCAGCCACACUGGGACUGAGACACGGCCCAGACUCCUACGGGAGGCAGCAGUGGGGAAUUUUCCGCAAUGGGCGCAAGCCUGACGGAGCAAUACCGCGUGAGGGAGGAAGGCUCUUGGGUCGUAAACCUCUUUUCUCAGGGAAGAACAAAAUGACGGUACCUGAGGAAUCAGCAUCGGCUAACUCCGUGCCAGCAGCGC
rnacentral:rRNA from 1 species